rnacentral:rRNA from 1 species
UACGGAGGUUGCAAGCGUUGUUCGGAAUAACUGGGCGUAAAGGGAGCGCAGGCGGCUUGGUAAGUCUAAAGUGAAAUUCCAGGGCUCAACCCUGGACGUGCUUUGGAUACUGCCUGGCUUGAGUACGUGAGAGGAGAUUGGAAUUCCAGGUGUAGCGGUGAAAUGCGUAGAUAUCUGGAGGAACACCGGUGGCGAAAGCGGAUCUCUGGCACGUUACUGACGCUGAGGCUCGAAAGCAUGGGGAGCAAACGGGAUUAGAACGUACGU